AUGUCUUUUUGAAUAUAAUUUAAAGUCUAAUCUGCUCACUGAAAAUUUUAAAGAGCCGCAGUAUUUUAACUGUGCAAAGGUAGCAUAAUCAAUAGUUUUUUAAUUGAGAACUUGUAUGAAUGAUUUUUUAAAAAAUUUAUUUUCUUAAUUUUUUAAAUUGAAUUUUAAUUUUAAGUGAAAAUGCUUAAAUAAUAUUAAGGGACGAGAAGACCCUAUAGAUUUUUAUUAUAUAAAUUUAAAUAUAUUUAUUUAAAUAAAUAUAAUUUGAUUGGGGUGAUAUUGUAAAAUAAAUAACUUAAAAAUUUUAAAACAUUAAUAAAUGAAUAUUUUGAUCUAAAAAUUUUAAUUAAAAGAUUAAAUUACCUUAGGGAUAACAGCGUAAUUUUAUUUACGAGUUCAUAUCUAUAAUAAAGUUUGCGACCUCGAUGUUGAAUUAAGAUAAAGUAUUGGAGUAGAAAUUAAUAAUUUUAGUCUGUUCGACUAUUAAAUUCUUACGUG
rnacentral:rRNA from 1 species